UGGGGAAUAUUGGACAAUGGGCGCAAGCCUGAUCCAGCAAUGCCGCGUGUGUGAAGAAGGCCUUCGGGUUGUAAAGCACUUUCAGAAGUGAGGAAAGGGUGGUCGUUAAUACCGGCUAUCUGUGACGUUAACUUCAGAAGAAGCACCGGCUAACUCUGUGCCAGCAGCCGCGGUAAUACAGAGGGUGCAAGCGUUAAUCGGAAUUACUGGGCGUAAAGCGCGCGUAGGUGGUUUAUUAAGUCGGAUGUGAAAUCCCUGGGCUCAACCUAGGAAUGGCAUUCGAAACUGGUGAACUAGAGUAUGGUAGAGGGAAGGGGAAUUCCAGGUGUAGCGGUGAAAUGCGUAGAUAUCUGGAGGAACAUCAGUGGCGAAGGCGCCUUCCUGGACUAAUACUGACACUGAGGUGCGAAAGCGUGGGUAGCAAACAGG
rnacentral:rRNA from 1 species